rnacentral:misc_RNA from 1 species
CACACCCGCACAGGCGCUGCUGCAUGUCCGUGGCACUGGUGCCUUCCUGUGCUCACAGACAAACAAAGCCACCCAAGUGCGCAGAGAGAGCUCUAUAGAGAAAGCGAGAGACCUGCACAUACUCGCACUCACGUGCAUUGCGGCUUGCUGGCUCGUGUUUCCUGCUCCCAGUCAAGCAGGCACUCCGGCCCAACCUGCAUCGCACCGCAGUGCCCUGCGUUUUGCCCUUCACGCGGCGCGAAGACGACGACGACGACGGGAAGAGAACGUUCAGCGAAAAAGAAAUACGCAACAUUCUCACGGGAGAGCGCGGGUGAGCUGACUGGCCGUCGUAGCAUCGUAGGCCGGAACUGCUACCCAACAUCGACCGCCGUUCCCCCCUCCCUGAUCCUCCCCUUCCUCACCCUCUUCUUGCUGGCACCGCAUCCGGUAGCGUUACAUCACGAUCACGCGCUGGGCAGCUCACUUCGGCUCCUUUUCUUGUUUCUUUUUCGUUUCUGGCUCGCUUCACGUGUAUAGAUCUAGCCUCGUGUGCCCGUGUUUGAGCAUCGAAGAGGAUGGCGGGGCUGCAGUCAGAGAACAUCUCCAUUAACUCCACGCGGCUGCCGGAGCAGAGCACGUCAGAUAAGGAUAUCUGUGUGUUCUGCCUCCGCCGCGCCACUUCCUCCGCCUCCGACCCGCAUGCGCCGCUCUUCCCCUUCUUCUCUCUCGUCGACUGCCGCCACUACGCAUGCCAGCCGUGCGCACUCGUCCACUGCGACAAUGCUGGCCGACGCAUCUUUUGCCCCAAGUGCCACUGCGUCUCUCGUCUGGCGCAGUCGGGUCGGCGGCGCACGCGCAGCGCCGCAGCGGCCACCGACGCCGAUGCAGACCGCGUAUCCAUCGACGAUGGCGUGUCGUCCACCCGCUCUCGCCGCACCCGCACUGGCACGACGCCACACCGCAGCGCCCUCAAGGGCAAGAGCGGGACCUUAAAGCGACGCGCCAGCUCGGUUCAGUUUCCGGCCAAUCCAACGACAUCAAUUGUGCCCGGAGACGGCGUCAGCGUCGCAAGUGGCGCAGUGGCGGUCCCAUCAGAGGGCGACAGCGCUGGUGAGCAGCACCAUCAGCGCAGGGCGUCGUCGCCCUUAACGCAGGAGGCCGUUGACGCGCUCCCGCUCGACCCAGUGGAAGCACGACGCCGACGGGCUCGCGAGCAGCAGCAGCAGCUCCGCGCCGCUGAAGCCGCGGCUAAGGCAGAGAAGGCAGUAGGCCUGUACGCUAUCACAGCCGCGCCCCCGCCGAAGGUGGCGCCCCAUCCGCCAUCUGCCACUGCCGCCUCGGGCCUCGCCACCAACGAAGGCUUCAAGAAAGUGAAGGACCGCUCGCGCUCGCAGCCGGUGCCGAAGCUGCCACACACAAUCCUGGAACCGAAGGAGGAAUACCCGGUGCCGCCUCCGCUGGUGCUGCACACAGUGGAGGAGGAAGAGGCACAUGCCCCUGCCGCUACCGGUGAAAGCGGCCGCGACGCUAAACCAGUGCUACCCGCAGCAGCCGCGGGUGCGACCGCUGCAGCAACGGCCGAAGAGGAUGUGAAGGCGGAGAAGAGUGCAUCGGCCUUGGCGCCUGCUUGGAAGACAUCGGUGACGCCGCGGCAGAUGGAGGAUGAAGUCGAGGCAGCCAUGGCGGCAUCUGCGGACAAGUCGCAGACAACCGGCGUGCUGCCGCCGCCCACCGGCACCCCCGAGGAGCUCGCGCGGCCGCACCAGCUACUGGAUGACUGCGAGAACACCGAGGCUGAGGAGCGCGGCGUCGUUGGAGACCUCGAGGCACACGAGCGCGCCGCGCUGAUGCAGCGGAUGGAGGAGGAGGACACGGCCAUUCGCGCGCGCCGUGGCCUGGUGGUGGAGUUUGAUUCAACACCCAUCCUGUCUCAGCAGCAGCAUCCAACACUGCAGAACCAGCACUCGCACCACGAUAACACCGGGUCCAUCUCCUUGGUCGACUUCUCCGACCAGGUCAGCGUCACGUCCGACGACGAGCUGUCGCAGCGGGCAUCUGGGUACAAGUCGGCCACCCGCAGCGACAGUGCAAGUCGUCGGCGACGUCGCACCUCUGUCAACGGCGCUUCAGAGCUGCGGGCACAGUCGCAUGAAAACAUGGCUGGCGAAUCAGACGCAAGGCCAGAGAAGGGUGGUCAGGCCGCCGCUGCCCGCACUCCUGGUGAUGCUCUCUCCAGUGCCGCGAAGUCCGUCGCGGGGUCGGGCUCGGCCGAGAACACGCUCUCGCCCAUGACCGCCGCCCGCCAAGGUCGGGUCUUGGCAAGCGAGGAAGUCGACGAUGGCGGCAAACUCAUCGCGACCAGAGCGGCGCUGGCGGAGGCAGAUGCCAAAGCCAAGGCAGAAGCCGAAGCCGCUCGUGCAGCUGCGGAGGCCGAAGCGCAUGCAGAAGCCAUCCGAACUGCAGAAGAAGCCAGGGCUCUAGCAGAAGGGCAGGAAAGGGCGCGGCAGCGGCAGUUGCAGCGUGAAGCAGUCGAAGAAGCGGCCGAGCAGAAGCGGCAGCAGCAGCGACAGGAAGAGGAGGUGCUGCGCCAACGCCAGCAGCACGAGGAGCGUGCGGCCUUUGCUUGUCAGGCUCUGCAAGACCGCGAGGGUCUAGCGCGAGAGGCGCUGGAGCAGGCUGAGGCGGCCGUGCGUGAACAUUACGAGCGCGGCGCUGAUGAGUGGCUAACAGCGGCGCUGCCGCAUGAGCUGGAGGCGCAGCGGCUGGUCCGUGCGGCAGCGGAGCGCAGGCGCGAGCAAGAGCAGCAGCAGGCGCACUUGGCGGCGGAAGAAGGUCUCGACCGAGACGAAGUGGAGGAGGCUGAGGCUAACGCGUGGUCGUGGCUGCUCUCUGGUGCCCGCGUUGACCGUGUGGUGGCGGCGACCGAGGAGGGCGACCGCGUGCAGCGGGAGUAUGAAGAGCUGCGUUUUGAGCGGCUUCAGCUGCAGCUCCGUGAAGACACGGCAGAGCUUGUUCACGAAGAGGCGCACGGUCGAGCCUCCUUUAUCGAGUACGAGGCUGCAACGCGCAGUCUCCUGCAGAGCCACCACGCGGUGCAACGGCAGGCGCUUGCGGAGGGCGAGCGGCGUCAGGAGGUCGAACUUUUGAAAAAGGCAGCGGCGCGCCGAGAGGCAGCACUCCGCCAGCGCUUUCAGUGGGAACUCGAUGAGUUGGAUGCGGAGGAGGUCAGCGGCCGCGCGAUGCUGCGUGAGGUGGAGAGGGAAGAACGGCGAACGGCGCACCUCGUGUUCCUGCAAACCUUGGCGUCGAUUCGGCGCAAGGAGGUGUUGGCGCAGCACGCGGCUGCCGUUGCUGCGGCCGCCGCUGCAGACGAGCCUGGUGGCACCUCUGUUUUGUCUGAAGCGUCAACGAUGAUUGCUGCGCAGGUGCACCGUCGAGUGCAGCAGCGGCAGACGGAUGCCGCUGUUCCGCUCAUGAUUGAAGGGGACGGAGACGGUGUCGACGACAACACCGCCGAUAUGGUUGGAGCUGCGACGCCGCCGCAGUUCCGCACUCCGCUCAUUACGGCAAAGGAGCUGGCGGAGCUGCGCGCGCGCGAAGCUUCGUACGCCGCUGAGCUGCAGGCCGCCUUGGAACGCCUCCGGGAAGCCGAGCGGCGUGUUGCGGAGGAGGCGGCCAUCCGUGCGCAAGCAGAGCAGGAGCGCCAAGCGGCGCACGCCGAGUCACAGCGCCUCUUACAGGAAGCCGAGCAGCGGGCCGAGCAGCGCAUCCGCGAAGCACGCGACGCGGCCGAGCAGCUGCUGCAGGCGCAGCUGGCUGACUUGCGCGACGAGGCGGUCCGCCGUGCGGAGCACGCAGCAGUCAUGCAGGCCCUCGCUGAGGAGGAGCAGCGAGCGGUCUUGGAAGCGAAGCUGCAGGCUGCGCAGCGUCAGUUGGACGAGGCGCAGCAACGCGCGCAGGAGGAGGUGCGCCGUGCGCGCGCAGACGCAGCGGAGAUGGCAGCCGCGGACGCCGCCCGUGCUGCCCGCGAAGCCCAGCGCCGCGACGAAGAGUGGCAAGAACGGUGCCGCGCGGAGCACCUCCUGCGGCUAGCUGAGCAGGAGCGUGAAAAGGAAGAAGCGGUUCGCCGCCUUGCCGAAAUCGAGGUGCGCGCCGCAGAGGCGGUGCGACUGGCGCGCGAGGAAGCUGCACGGACCGCAGCGGAGGCGCAGGAGCGGCUGGCGGAAAUGGAGCGGAGGCAGCAAGCGCGGGAGGCGGAGGUGCAGUCUGCGGCGCAGCGCGUGCGUAGUGUACGGGACAGCCUGCGUGAGUUCGACUCGAGCACUCAGUCGUCGCGGUACGCGACACCAUUCAGAGCGGUGCUACCAGGGCAGAGACCGCCAACAAGCAGCAGCAGCUAUAGGGCGCCAAGCCUUGUUGCAGCCUCCUCGACCCACGCCACGCACACGGCGGGAGCUGUGGCUACGCAAGCGUCUGUGCACACCCCUCUGCAAACCCCGCCGCUGGUUCCGUCCUCGUCUCGCACAUCCUCGGCGGUGCGCCGUCAGCCGUCGGCGCAGUCACCGACGCCGCGCGUUGCCGCAAGGGUACCAGCAGCAGGGGCGGCAGCAUCCUUGGCCCCCUCUGACGCGACACCUCCAAAGGUGAUUAUCAGCUCACAGCACACACCUCUCUCUUCGGCAGUAGCCCCGGGCCUCGGGCGCAGCGGAGCUGCCGUGCCGUCGUCCUCCGCGUCCGCUGCCGGCGCCACCAGUCUUGCCGCGAUGGACCCGGCGGAUAUCAUUCGUGCCGCCAUCCGCUCUGCCGUGCAGGAGAUCGUCGAGGCGCAGCGACGGACCCAAACACUGCAGGAUCGCGCCGAGCAGAACGUCGAGCUUAGCGAGCGCCGCUAUCACCGCCGCCAAAGCGAUCGUCUGCGUGCCGCACGCGACGUCGCCGCCAUCGAGUCCUCUUACGCUGCAAGUGAGGUGGACGAGAGCGAGGAGCGGCACCAGCGUUGGCGGGCAUGGUCUCAGCAGCCGCAUCAGCGGACCCGGCAGCGUCAGCCGGUGCGCGGCUGCGAGCGCGACAGCCGCGUCGCGAGCUCGCGCAUGUCAGAGGAGCGCCUGCGGUCGGUUCGCUCCUCGCGAGGUGACUACGCACAAGAGGUGAGCGAAAGCCCGUGGACGCGCAGCUCGUCCUCGCCUGCAUCACGGCUGUCACCGACAGGCGCGCCACUGUCAACCGCACCCCCUGCCCCCGCAGCCCGCUCGGUAAGCAGCAACACGCUGCUCAGCACCUCGUCUGUGUACUUCGACAACAGCUAUCAACCCUCGGCGGCCGCAUUCGGGGCAGCACACCAGCAUUUCCGGCGCAACGGCUGCGAUUACGCCGCAGUCCAGCAGCAGCAGCAGCAGCAGCAGCAGCGCCUGGCGUCCUUCGCGCCGUACAGCUCGGCGUCACGCGUUCUCUUUGCACCUCGUGUGGCGCAUCAGGCCCGCGAGGCGUGGGCUGCCGAGGACGGCGAGUGCGGCUAUGCACAGCGCAUGCAUGCCGGGGUCGGUGCGCGCGCCUACUCGCGCGUCGCCUCUGAGCAACAACAGCGGUACGCCACUGGUGCCGCUCAGCCUCCUCCUCGACAGCCGCUCCUUCAGACCGUCGGCGUGGCCGCGGCACUCCCUUCCGCGGCGCACGCCUACAACGAACCAGAGCCGCUCCCACCAGCGCCGGCGGCGAUGGAAUACUCGCCGCCGCCUCGCCGUAGCACCACACGCGCCGCAGCGGAGGUGGUGCCACAGCAACAGAGUCGGCCAGCUGGUGUAGGUGCUAACGUGGGCAGUGGUGGCGGCAUCGCCGCACUCCCGGAGCCGAGUCGCAUGUGCCCUCGCUGCUACCGCACAGACACCACCUCCCCAUGCUGGCGUUGCGGAGAGAUGAUCUGCAGGCACUGCGGCUUGCCGCCCGGCUCAGCGCGGAAGCUGUGCUGCACAGCGCACCACCGCGCGCAGCUGCGUGAAUUUACGCGGCGCAAGACCUACGAGAGCGGCAAGGCUGCCACCACCGUCGGAGCUGGCAAGGUGCCGUCGCCCCCGCCGCCUCAGCAACAGCAACAGCAACAGCAGCAGCAGCGUCUUCGCGGAGAGCAGCAGGUGCAGACUUCCUUUGCGUCCUCAGCAGCCAGCGCUCGAAGUCACGACGCUGCGCACUUUGCAGAUGAGCCGGCAGCGCGGCUCGAUGUGGGCACGUCGCCGCUCACGAGCAUUUCGCCACCGUCCAUGAUAUCCCCGUCGGCGUACCGGGCACCGGAGCAGCGUCAGCGGCAGCAACAGCAACCGCAAGCGCAGCCGCACUACCCUAGCAGUUACCAAGCCUUCACAAUGGCGGGGCCGGCGGCACCAUCGCAGCAGCCAAUAUACUCGCCAGGCUACCACUCCGCCGCAACGACGUACCCCUACGCGUAUUCACACCCAAUGUCGCAGCCGCAUCAAUUGCCGACCCACCAGCUGCCAUUCUACGCCGACAGCGAGAGACCUCAUCCGAUGCCGCCGCCGCUGGACCCGUAUGUGCAGCCGUUCGGCCAGCCGCAGCCCUAUGCUCCAUUUGGUUACUCGGUUCGCGCCGCGACGGCUGCGCUGGGGAGCGCUGCGACUGGCGCUGACUUCGCGGCACCUAUGACUGUGUCCGAGGCGCAGCGACAGCAGGGGACGACAGCCGUGGCAGCAGAGGCGUGGGCAACGCAUGAAGUGCCUCCGCCCGAGAGUCGAGCGGCGGCUUUCGGUGCCGUUGCCAGGCAUCAUGCUUCGCCUGCAGAGCUGACCCAGUCGCCGCCACCACCUUCGGCACUGCCUCCUUCGCAGCAGGAAGGAGCAAGCGAGGUCAUGGGUCUUCGUGCCGCCGAGGGCGGCGCCAUGAUUGAGACAGUGGCACCCGCAGCGGCAGCUGUGGAUGACACACCGGAUGCGCAAGUGCAGCGGCGGCCGUCUACGUCGUCGUGGGUCAAUGAUGACCGCACACAUAGGGAGGCGGAGCAGACAGUGGCGGCUGAAAGCCGCACCUUGCCGAACGCAACCGUGGCUGCAGCUGUAGCCGGAUCGGCGGCAGCAGACGCAAGUCUGCCCGAUAGCGCGCCGGAGAAGCAGGGGGGCACGACUGCACCUGUGGAUGCUAGGUCGACCCCGGAUGGUGGCGCUGCUGCAGAAAACGACGGCGACGGCACGUCUGCGGCGACCGCCGGUGCCACGGCUGCAGCGGUUCUCGAGGAACCCAAGACGGAGCGAAAGAAGACCUUUCCAGCGUUUUUCGUGUCGCUUGGCGACGGCGACGACGCUGCGGAGCCGCGCCGGCCGAAGCCUCCAACGCCGCGGAACUUUGUGCCGAGCCAGUUGGCGCCGCCGACGCCGCCAAGGAAGCAGCAGCGGAGAACCUUACCGUCUGGCAUGCUGCUCACGUCGCUGAACCGCAGUGGUCGGCAGUCGGCGCAUCACCAGCAUCAGUGCCGCAAACUAUCACCGCUUCAAGCGCACGAAACGAACUGUGCACGUAAUAGUCGCAAGAGCGUCAGCCCAUGUCGUGGCUUUGGGGUGCAUCGCCGCCAGCGGCACACGUCCCCCAGCCCGUACGAGCAAGUCCCAAAGGCGAGCGGCGCAAGAGAUGGGCCGAGGAAGACGCCGUCCCACCCGUCAUCGAAGCAGCGGCAGCGGCAGCAUGCCCAUGCUAACGGCACAGCGACCUCCAUUACGAAGUCCAUCAAGUCCUACAUCAAGUCCCUCUCUCCCAUGGUCGUGGUGGAUGAGUCCGGCACGCCGGUCGUGUACGAGGACGUACGCAAGGUGGAGUCGAACAACCCCUGGAUGCAGCAGCAGCCGCAGCGACCGCAGGGGUGGAGCGCCACCGCCACCCCAGCUGCCCAUGAUAUCUACCUCAGCAGUGGCGGCAUCAGAAGUGUUGGGGCCGAAGCAGAGCGCAACCGCCCUGAGUCGAGCCACGGCCACAGCAAGGUGGGCCGCUAUUACGUCAACGUGCCAUCGCAACCGCAUGAUUCCUCGCCGCAGAAGCACCAGCACCACCAGCACCAGCGCUCGUCCCACAGCGAUUCCUACUACCCGUACUUCACGUCUUCCGGUGCGACAAGCGAGACGCAGUCUCAGCCUCCUCAGCAGCAGCUGCAGCAGCACCUUUAUGCGCCACCACAGUCGCACAUACAGACUGACAUCACCUAUGCUGCCCCGUUCGUGGAUCGCCGUGUGCCGACGCUCGCCGAGCUGGAGAAACGCCUGCAGCAGCUGCGGAUCGUGGACGAGUAUGAGGCUGCUCAGUACCAUCGGCGUCAAGCGCAGCGCGCGCACCAACAACAACAGCAGCGCAUUCACGUGCUUCUUCACUCCCCUGGAGCAGUGGCUGCGGGCGGCAACACCGGAACGUUUGUGACGGCAUCCUCGUGGGCCACUCGUGAGCUAGCACAGCCGCUGCAGCGACGCCACAGCAGCGCAACAGGGCGGCACCCGCAGCAGCGCACAGUGUCGCCGCCGUGGCGAACGGACCUUAACUCGAGUCCGGUGCGACCGCGGUGGGACAUCAGUCAGCCUCGCUCACCCAUCUACCACCCUGCGCCAGCAACGAUGACUGGAAAUUGAACUUCGUCGAGCCAGCCUGUGCAUGCGUAUUUGUGUGGCGGCCGCGGCCGAAGAUGGUACUGAUAUCGCCAUGUGAGAGCGUUGCCCAGUUCGGUUGUCGCGGGUGCGCUCCCUUUUUUUUUUUCGCAGUGGCGCGCGCUCUAGACACUUUGCCUUUGUUAAGUUUUUUUUUUUCAGCGUUGGCUGCUCAUGCUUUACUGGUUGACGUGAUCGUGGCAGCGCACUGCAGCUCGAUCGUGCAUUUUCUCUUUCCUUCCGUGUGUCUCCUCCAUCUCUUCCGCAAGUCGUGUGUGCAUCCCUCCUCGUGUGUGGGGGGAGGGGAGGGGAGGGGGUUAGGAUACACGUGGAUAACGCUCUCAAUUCAGCGAAUCGCGCGCAGACAAGCAUGCAGAUGCAUGCACCGGCCCUCCUUCUUUCCCUCUCUCCUGCUUUCACACGCUCCGAGAUGCUGGCUUUCUUUUUUUUUUUCUGGCAUCGUUUUCUCAGGCGUGCUUCGUCUCGCCGGAAACCGCAGCGAAGAGCAUUAGAUGGUACCGCACGAGAGGAACGCAAGCACGCUUAUGUCGUGGCAUGCAUGUUUCUCCGCACACGCACACACACGGGGUGGAGGGGACAAGCGAGUGCGGAGAGUCGCACUGCUUCACCUCUCACUCAAUGGCCCAUGCGCCCCCGCCUGUCGCGCUACCUCCUUUUUCUUUUUUUCCUUUCCGCCAUAGACAAGUUUGCAUGUUUGAUGUUGACCCGGAAUUUUGAAAGGUGCGUUGAUGGACUGACGACGAUCUUAGCACUGAAGCGAAGUUGACAAUGGUGCGACUAUCGUGUGCACCACCAUCACCACCACGCGCCUCAACGUCAGCGAGGGCAAUUUUUUUUUCCGUGUACGUGUACGGUAUGUGUGUCUGUAUGGGCAUGUGAGGUAGAUGCACGGCAACCGAUGAUGAUGGCAGGGUGGCCAGCCUGAAGGAUGCUGGCAGGCGUGCUUGUUGUUGUUUCGUUCGUUUUCUGUUGUUCUUGUAUUAUAACCUUCCCAUCUCUUUUCUGUUUCUGUCCUUUCUCUCCAUCCCCCAAAGACGCACCACCUCCACCGCCGCCACCGCCUGGUGAUGCCCCAGUCUUCAAUCUCUCUCCCUCAAAUGAUAGAGCGGAUAGCACUGUGAAGUGGACGUGCGCGAAGGCGUCUCGAGAGUCUCGCACGCGCGCAUGCGCAUGUGUGUGUGUGUCUAAGCCAUCUGCCCUCUCUUGUUUUGUGGAAAAAGGCGGGUGCAGAGUCCCCCGCCACCUUCAGCGCUCUUCGCGCGAGCUCGAGUGCCACUGUUCCAUCAUGAAGAGCAU